rnacentral:rRNA from 1 species
AUUGAACGCUGGCGGCAGGCCUAACACAUGCAAGUCGGGCGGAGUGGCGGACGGGUGAGUAAUGUAUGGGGAUCUGCCUGAUGGAGGGGGAUAACUACUGGAAACGGUAGCUAAUACCGCAUACCAUCAGCUGAACCCAUAUGGGAUUAGCUAGUAGGUGAGGUAAAGGCCUACCAAGGGGACGAUCCGUAACUGGUCUGAGAGGAUGAUCAGUAACAGUGGAACUGAGACACGGUCCAGACUCCUACGGGAGGCAGCAGUGGGGAAGAUUGGACAAUGGGCGAAAGCCUGAUCCAGCCAUGACGCGUGUGUGAAGAAGGUCUUCGGAUUGUAAAGCACUUUAAGUUGGGAGGCGUUACCAACAGAAUAAGCACCGGCUAACUUCGUGCCAGCAGCCGCGGUAAUUC